rnacentral:rRNA from 1 species
GAUGAACGCUGGCGGCGUGCCUAAUACAUGCAAGUCGAGCGAAGCGGGGACGGGUGAGUAACACGUGGAAAAACUCGUAAAAGACUGGGAUAAAUGGGGGAAACCGGAGGUAAACCGGAUAAUUAGAGAUGGAUGAGCGCUGCAUUAGCUAGUUGGUAAGGAAACGGCUUAGCAAGGAAACGAUGAAUAGCCGACCUGAGAGGGUGAUCGGCCACACUGGGACUGAGACCCGGUCCAGACUCCUACGGGAGGCAGCAGUAGGGAAUCUUCCGCAAUGGGCGAAAGCCUGACCGAGCAACGCCGCGUGAGUGAUGAAGUUCUUCGGAUCGUAAAACUCUGUUAUUAGGGAAGCGGUACCUAAUCAGAAAGCCACGGCUAACUACGUGCCAGCAGCCGCGGUAAUUC